rnacentral:rRNA from 1 species
UACGGAGGAUCCAAGCGUUAUCCGGAUUUAUUGGGUUUAAAGGGUGCGUAGGCGGAUUGAUAAGUUAGAGGUGAAAUGUCCGAGCUCAACUCGGGAACUGCCUCUAAUACUGUUGAUCUAGAGAGUAGAUGCGGUAGGCGGAAUGUAUGGUGUAGCGGCGAAAUGCUUAGAGAUCAUACAGAACACCGAUUGCGAAGGCAGCUUACCAAUCUAUAUCUGACGUUGAGGCACGAAAGCGUGGGGAGCAAACAGG